CUCUGACCCCCGGGGAGGAACCACGCGGAAAAUGGCGCCUUAAAGUGCCCGCGCCCACCUUUCCGAAGUGCGCGGCCCAGUGCACGGGCGUCCAGCCGUAGAAGGAGUCCUCGGCGGCCAGAUGGAGUUUCCUGAGAGGCUCGGAGCUCCCUGUUGGCUGUAAAUGUCCACGUAAUGAAGUCCAAGGCACCGACAUCUCCCUUUAACAGCUAGAAAAGCGAGCCGAUUCACUCCCCGAUUGGACUCAUUAGAUCUUAACCCCAGCCUCUGAAGAGUUCUAAAGCAUCCUUGACCUGGCUUCUGCAGAUGUUGGGUAGGUUUUGCUCCUUGCCAUAGAGUCCUGCUCCCCGCUUUCUCCCCAUGUACACACAUGAUUUUAUUUGCACUGAAAUGUGAUUUUAUUUGUAUGUUAAUAAAUAAAGUUGCUUGGGGGUCAGAGCUAAUAGCAAGCCAUCGCAGAAGCUGGGCGGUGG